rnacentral:ncRNA from 2 species
UGCUGAGAGAAGUAGCAGUUACU